CAGAUGAGUGCUCUCC
rnacentral:rRNA from 1 species